GUGCGUAUAGCUCAGAGGUAGAGUGUGUGCUUAGCAUUCACAAGGUCCUGGGCUCAAUCCCCAGUACCUCCA
rfam:Camelus ferus unplaced genomic scaffold scaffold2016, whole genome shotgun sequence.